GCAGCCUUUUACCGGGUCCAGCUAUAACAAAAACAAUCUCCCAACAAGUAGGAGCGCGAAUUAUUCUAAGCGAUGCUUACACACGAGCACGACCUUGUCUCUCGGACAAACGUACUAGCACUCGCACCCACUAACGGGCUUGUCCUGAUCAGACACAUGCUCGAGGGAUUCUUCGGUCGUAUCGCGGUCCCGACCCGUGCGAUCGAGACGACAACUUUCAAUCAUCUUAUAAUCCUCUAAAGCCGGGCUUGGCCAACCUAAUAUUCUUUUUUGGAUUACUUAAGGAUCGAUUUGAAAACCGUUGUCGCUCGAAAGUAUAAACGAUUGUCUUCGAAACUUGAAAAUUUAUGUUGUUAUCGAGGACUCGAACUGACGACAUGAUGUGUCAAAAUUUGAUAAAGCCGAGUCAUCGACUAUUCGGUUAAAUUCAAGACAUCGACCAGAUUGCCAAA
rnacentral:lncRNA from 1 species